GGAGCCCUCUCUGGCUCCAAGAACAUGGUCUCCCACCUUAUCUGUGGAGCUGGGUGCCCCCUGGUGGCCGCAGUGUUGACUUAGGUUUUAGGCUAGCUUUCCCAGCCUAUGUCCGCGUGCCAGAGGAGGCCAGCUGGUCUCAUCACUGCUCGUCUGGGAGAACGUACUCAGCUUGGACCUUCGGGUGACCAUGCUGAAGGAGGUGUGGGUCAGGCUGAGGUGUUUGGUCCUAGACUCCGUUUUCUAUGACACAAAACUUGGGAAACCCACAGUGACCUAGCAUAGGGGUUCUGGGACUAGACAUUUAUAGCCAUCUAUAUGGUUUGGGACAUGAAUACGUGGGUAAGGCUUUGGUGACUAAUGCAUAAGAGCAUGCACCUGUGCCUGUCUGUCUACACUUAGUCUGACACUCUCUUGCUCCCAGAGCCCAGAGCAUCAUGAUAAAGCAACUGAGCAGCUGCUGAGGAGGUUCGGGAGAGGUGGCUCCGUAGGGGCUCCUGUGGUUUGCUCCCAGAAACUGCGACAAUGACACAUUCAUCAGGUAUUGUCCCAUCGUGACAUGGAAAUAAAACCUUUUGCAUAGAUUGGUAGAUAGAGGC
rnacentral:lncRNA from 1 species